rnacentral:rRNA from 1 species
AGUGAACGCUGGCGGUAGGCCUAACACAUGCAAGUCGAACGGCAGCACAGGAGAGCUUGCUCUCUGGGUGGCGAGUGGCGGACGGGUGAGGAAUACAUCGGAAUCUACUCUGUCGUGGGGGAUAACGUAGGGAAACUUACGCUAAUACCGCAUACGACCUACGGGUGGAAGCAGGGGAUCUUCGGACCUUGCGCGAUUGAAUGAGCCGAUGUCGGAUUAGCUAGUUGGCGGGGUAAAGGCCCACCAAGGCGACGAUCCGUAGCUGGUCUGAGAGGGUGAUCAGCCACACUGGAACUGAGACACGGUCCAGACUCCUACGGGAGGCAGCAGUGGGGAAUAUUGGACAAUGGGCGCAAGCCUGAUCCAGCCAUACCGCGUGGGUGAAGAAGGCCUUCGGGUUGUAAAGCCCUUUUGUUGGGAAAGAAAUCCAGCUGGCUAAUACCCGGUUGGAUGACGGUACCCAAAGAAUAAGCACCGGCUAACUUCGUGCCAGCCGCCGCCGUAA